UAAACGCAAGUUAUCAAAAUUAACUUUUUAAGCGAGCUAGCUAACAAAAAUCAAUUUUUUUAAAUUGUGUUUGAAGUUAAGUCUUUCAAUUAACUGUUGAAUUGAACUGCGUCAAUUUUCUGCAGAAAACAAACACCGUCCUCACAAUCUUCAACUUACAAUGACGAUUUGCAUCAAAAUUGCUCUUCAAAUUUGCGUGCUCUUUUCAAUUUUGUCACUCAAUCACUGCCAAAGCGUUAUAUAUGAUACAUCAACUGAGCCACAAUGCACAGAAAUAACUCAGAGCGCAACCCGGGAUUGUCGAUGGAAAGCAGGUUUGGAUCGAACUGUGGACCACAAAGUACUGGGAGGAAAGAUAGUGGCGUACAAAAUCAGGUGGUUCAACGGAAGUUGGUCUGGCUGGUAUGUGCCUGGCCUCCUAGAUAUCGACGGGAAGUUCAACCCGACAGCCAGUCCAUGCUCUGUGCCUCUGAAAGCUAAUUCCAUGCGACUGAUGUGGUCAUACUUCUACGACCAUACUCAUUCUUACAUUCUCUGUAAAUCUCAAGAAGUAUAAAACAUCGAGCUGUGAAAAUUGAUUGGCACAGAUUUCGCCCUACUACAGAUUUCGUCCUAUUCAUUUAAUAAACAGAUUUCGUCCCAUACAGGUUUUGUCCCUUAUCCAACAUCCUAUCAUCCCAUAUCCAAAUUUGUGGGACAAAAUUUGUUGAAAAUAAAUUGGGACGAGAUCUGUCAUGGGACGAAAUCUGUCACGGCCGUGAAAAUUAUGAACAGUUUAAUGCUCAGGAGAACUGGAAGAUCAAAACAUUCUUAUCAACUAAUCGCAUUUAAAGUUUAAUUAGUUUAAUACUGUUGAAUGUUAAAACGAGUGGAAUUGAUUAAAUUUUGUAUAAUACAGCUUUGAAUAGGCAUUUAACUGAAAA